GACGAACGCUGGCGGCGUGCUUAACACAUGCAAGUCGAACGGCAAGGCACUGCUUUUGUGGGGUGCUCGAGUGGCGAACGGGUGCGUAACACGUGAGUAACCUGCCCUUGACUUUGGGAUAACUUCAGGAAACUGGGGCUACUACCGGAUAGGAGCUCCUGCUGCAUGGUGGGGGUUGGAAGGUUUCGGCGGUUGGGGAUGGACUCGCGGCUUAUCAGCUUGUUGGUGGGGUAGUGGCUUACCAAGGCUUUGACGGGUAGCCGGCCUGUGAGGGUGACCGGCCACAUUGGGACUGAGAUACGGCCCAGACUCCUACGGGAGGCAGCAGUGGGGAAUAUUGCACAAUGGGCGGAAGCCUGAUGCAGCAACGCCGCGUGCGGGAUGACGGCCUUCGGGUUGUAAACCGCUUUCGCCUGUGACGAAGCGUGAGUGACGGUAAUGGGUAAAGAAGCACCGGCUAACUACGUG
rnacentral:rRNA from 1 species